GACGAACGCUGGCGGCGUGCUUAACACAUGCAAGUCGAACGAAGAGCGAUGGAAGCUUGCUUCUAUCAAUCUUAGUGGCGAACGGGUGAGUAACGCGUAAUCAACCUGCCCUUCAGAGGGGGACAACAGUUGGAAACGACUGCUAAUACCGCAUACGAUCUAACCUCGGCAUCGAGGAUAGAUGAAAGGUGGCCUCUACAUGUAAGCUAUCACUGAAGGAGGGGAUUGCGUCUGAUUAGCUAGUUGGAGGGGUAACGGCCCACCAAGGCGAUGAUCAGUAGCCGGGCUGAGAGGAUGAACGGCCACAUUGGGACUGAGACACGGCCCAGACUCCUACGGGAGGCAGCAGGGGGGAAUCUUCCGCAAUGGACGAAAGUCUGACGGAGCAACGCCGCGGGAGGGAUGACGGCCUUCGGGUUGUAAAGCUCUGUUAAUCGGGACGAAAGGCCUUCUUGCGAAUAGUUAGAAGGAUUGACGGUACCGGAAUAGAAAGCCACGGCUAACUACGUG
rnacentral:rRNA from 1 species